CCUUUGCAAACACAAGCUUAACAGUCUUUCUGUUUCAUUAGACAAGACUGCCUCCACCAGAACCGUACGAGAGCGUGUUCUUAGAAGACCAGUUUAGCAGCUGCUUCUGCUUGCCGCGUUCAUCUUGAAGAUCACAAGGAGUGAAGGCGCUUUCCUGUUCUGCUUGCCUGGGGCCAUACCCGGGAACUUCAGACUGAGUGCCUUAUUUUAAGCACAGCACUGAUGGACUGAAGUACUCAGAUGGAGAGCACGCCCCAGUCUCUCAGCCAAGCUUCACCUGGGAAAUCUGAGUGACAGGUGACGUGCCGGCAGCUGGAAGACGCACAGUAAACGGAGCCUACGAUGAGCUCAGAAGAGGUUGGUUAAGGAAGAGGAGGAAUAGGAAGUGCUUGGAGCCGUUCCCAGCCGAUGACCCACCCGCAAGCGCAGAUGCCAGCGCAUAUCUGGACCAUCAUAGUCCUGAAGCUUAUGCUGUAAAGAAAGCAGAAGCCUGGGGGCUGGAGAGAUGGCUCAGCGGUUAAGAAUACCGACUGCUCUUCUGAAGUUUCUGAGUUCAAAUCCCAGCAACCACAUGGUGGCUUACAACCAUCUGUAACGAGAUCUGACGACCUCUUCUGGGGUGUCUGAAGACAGCUACAGCGUACUUACAGAUAAUCAAUACAUAAAUCUUUGAAGAAGAAAAAGGAAAAAAAAGAAAGCUGGAGUCUACCACAGGCUCUCAGUCCAUUAUCUGUCUGUAAGACAAGGCUUUGGUGUUUAUUGAGACAGGGUCUUGGACUAACAGUUUUGAAAUUUUGGUUUCUUUUUUUUAAAAAAUACAGAAAUAUUAGAAUAUGUUUUCAUUUUAAUCUCAGGUGUGAGAUACAGGACUGUUUCUGAUUGUCCACAGCAGCUGACUGUGAUUUGCCUUGUGCUCUAGCAGGGGUGUGAUUUUGCCAAUGGCAGAUAGUUUCUGAGACUGUGUAACAUUUGGAAUCCUGGGAAAUUUUCAGAAAGCAUAUUAAGGCUAGGAGUCCCAAGAGGUUCCUUUCUAUCCAUUUUUAUCUGCUAUCUAGCUUUAGGGGUGUUGAAAGCGUGGAAAAAGUGAAGAAAGGGGUAGAAGAAAGAAGAACCCACAAAGAAGCAAACGCUGGCCACAGUCUUACCAUGCAUCCCUCCUGGUGUUUACUUCUAGCAUUGGCUAAGCACAAUAGCAGGGAAGAAGUAACAUGUGCGAUUAUUCCUACAGUAGUCCCCAUGGCGCUUCAAGGUGUUUGGAUCACUGCAGAUGACUGGUGCUGUGUGACUUAGUGAAGAGCAAUGGUUGGUGACUUUAGAACUGUUUGCCUUGAGCAGAUAGAACUAAUUAUAACUAUACCUCAGAGUGACAGGAGAGUAACAGGGCAGGUUAGGGUGUCCAGGAUUAUAGAGAUUCAAAUUAUUCUGUAACCCCCUAUUUUUACUAAGAUGUCUGCCAGAACUAAAGAGCCACUAUGUAUGCCAGGCUGGUUUGAACUCACAGGGAUCUGCCUGCCUCUGCCCUGGCAGAGUGAGUUCCAGGACAGCCAGGGCUACACAGAGAAAUCCUGUCUCGAAAAAAACAAAACAAAACAAAAAGAUCUGGAGAGAUGGCUCAGCAGUUAAGAGUACUUUCUGUGUAAUUAUGAGAACCAGAGUUUGAUCCCAGCAUCUGUGUAGCAAAUUUGCAUGCCUGUAAUCUCAGCAACAAGGGACUAGAAACUAGAUGAUCACCAGGAUUUGCUAGCUUCUAGUCUAUCUGAAAAAAUUCAAAUCCUAGUCUAGAGAGAGACUCUGCCUCAAAAAUUAUAAAUGGAUAAUUACAGAGGAAGACACUCAACAUAGCCUUCUCUGCAUGGACACCCACACACAUCUUAGCUACUGUUCUAUUACUGUGAAGAGACACUAUGACCAAGGAAAACCUAAAAGAAAUCAUUUAAUUGAGGACUUGCCUACAGCUUCAGAGAAUCCAUUAUCAUCAUGGCAGGGACUGUGGCAGCAUGCAGACAGACUUGGUGCUGAAGAAGUUGCUGAGAGCUACAUCCUGCUCGACAGGCAGCAGGCAGAGAGAGACAACACUGGGCUUGGCAUUGGCUUUUGAAACCUCAAGGUCUGCCCCCAGUGACACACCCCCUCCAACAAGGCCACACCCCCUAAUCCUUCUUAAACAGUUCCACUCCAUGAUGACUAAGAAUUCAAAUAGAUGAGCCUCUGGGGGACAUUCUCAGGCAGACCACCACGUAUACCAUAUAUAUAUACAUAUAUAUUCAUACAUAGAUUUUUUUAAAAAUAAGAAAUAUGAGAGGCUGAGAUGAGAGCGGUUCCUGCACAAGCAUGCGGAUCUCCGCGCUGAGCUUGGAUCCCAGAACCUGUACAGAAAACUAAGCUUUGCUACGUGGGCCCUGGGUAGAGAGGAGGUAGAGAGGAGAAGCAGAGACCGGAUGGUCUCUGAGACUUAUUGGCAGCCAGCUAGCUGAAAAAUAUCUCCAAGCUAACUGUCUCAAGGGAAUAAGACAGAGAAUCACAGAGAAGACACAUGACGUUCUCUGGUCUCAGCAUACACAUAUGGCAUGGGCAACACACACACACACACACUUGUACAAGGAAGAAUCAGUAGUUCAAGGUCAUUCUUGGGUACAUAGGGAGUUUGAGGCCAGCCUGUGCUACAUGAGAUUCAAACAAAACAAAAAGAAAGAAAGCUCUCAGAGAACUUCCUGCUGUAAUUGGAGCGCUCUUGCCUACUGCCUGGACUGCCCAGUGCUGAGGAAACCAGGGGACUAGAGGUGGGCAAGGGCCAAGGACCUGAAUGGCAGACAUACUUCUUGCAUGACCACUAUCAAGCGAGCCAACUCCUGGUGCCCAACAUACUCAGACCCAGACAGCCUGUGCCAGGGUGUGUGGGUUGGAGGAGUCAGCACAGAAGCUUCCUGCCCCAGGCACUUCAGGUCUGUGCAGGUCCUCCAUCCCACCUCUGGAGACUGCUCCCACAUCUGAAGUCUCCCCUGUGUUCCCACUGUAAGCUCAAGAGCUGAGGUGCUUCCUCUGAUUCUUCCAGAGGUGGGAGGCAGAAAGCAGGAGCUGUGAUCCUCAUGCCAGACACAAACCCUGGGAAAUUACUUGCCCCAGGGCAAGCUUUCAGAAAUCCUGGCAAGGAACCCAAGCCCUGCGGACAGUAAAAAUGGCUACUCAGCAGGGUCUCUGGUAUUAGUGGUCAGGGUGGGGACUUCUAAACUUGGGCUAGGAACUGGAGGUUCACCCAUGGGCUGAGCCACCCUUGACAAGGAACUUGCACCUCUUCUGACCAACUGAGACUCUUAAAGCUCUCAGCAUUAGCAAAUUGACCUUAUUUUUCAUUUUUCUUUUUCUUUUUUUUCUUUUUCUUUUUUGACAGGGUCUUAUAUAUCCCAGGCCAACCUUAAAGUUGUUAUGAAGCAAAGAUGACCUAAGAAUGGCCUUGAACUUCUUCCUGCUAUCACUUCCUUAAUGCUUAGAUUACAGGAUGCAUCACAGUGCUACAUUUAUGAGAUACUGAGGAUCAAACCCAGGCUUCCAUCCAUGCUAACAGGCCCUUUACCAGCUAAGCCACAUCCUUAAGUCUUAAGAUUGACUUCAUACAUACUUGGGGUCCUAUUAAUGGCUUUCUGAUAUACGGCCACCACUUCGCCCCAUGGAAAAUAACAAUUGAUAUUGUAUUGGCCCCUGUUCUAAUGGCUGUUCCCCAGCACCCCCAUAGGAAAUUUCCCAGUUGUGGCUUCUCAUGAGCUCCCGUCCUCAGGAAGCAGGAUCUUAUGACCAGCCUACUCAAGUUCCCUUCUCCGCUUUCUUCAGAAAGGCAGAAACCUCUGUGCUCUGCGUACUCAGCUUUCCAGGGCCUGGCUCACAGCCACGUGUGGUACCAGUCACUGUCUGCCAGAGAGUAAACGGAAUCAGGUGGCCUAGGUUCCGGCUGCUGAGUGGAGGGAGGCCAGGAUGAAUGGUGGCCCACAGAGAAAAGGAAGCCCUCAGAAAAUAAGAGAUCUUCGGGAAGGAGUUCCAGGACCUGCAGUUGAUGGGUGACGAGUAGUGUCCCUUGGAGCCUGAGGAUACUGUUCUCACCAGAGCUUGGCUUUUGCUGAGCCCUGCAGAAUCUGGCUAGCCAGGGCCUGGGAGAACCUUCCACACACUGAGAAAAAGCCCCAAGGACUAAGACCUUGGUUCUCAGUCUCUCUUUGGCCUUUUGCCAAAGCUGUGUGGGUCCCCCAGCCUCAUUUUAGAACCUUAGUUGCCACCUCUGUUAAAAAGAAUGGUGUCGUGAUUCUAAGAGUGCUAAGGAAGUCAGUUUUAUUCCCAAAUAUUUCUGUUCUCUACCUGUCAUCCAUGCCAAAGCUCUCUGUCCUUUGCAAGCACGACGGCGUUCAUCUGUCACUCAGAAGGUAGCUAGCUCUGCAUCCAGGGCUGGAGAGAUGGCUCAGAAGUAAAGAGCGCUGCCUGCUCUUGUAGAGGACCUGGGUUCAGUUCUCUGCACACACAUGGCACCUCACAGCUACCUAUGACUCGGACGCCUUCUUCUAACUUCCACAGGCCUGGUGUGUGGUGUAUCCAUUCAAACAAAACACCCAUCCAUGCAAAAUAAAAUA